UAACAACAGCUGGGGCGUAACAAUGUUCUGUUCAACCCGCCUCUCCUCAGAGACCUCCCUCCUCAUGAACUCAAUCUCCUCCUCUUCCUCCCUCGUGACUGGGCGACACUUCACUGAACCUGCAAAAAGAUCUUAGUUCCCUAACCUUAGGCAACAAAGACACGCAACGGCACACGCAAACAAAACAACACUAAGGCAGGAAAAGACAAGGACCUAUUGACUGAAAGUGCAUAGGCAUGUGUCCGCUGGC
rnacentral:lncRNA from 1 species